rnacentral:rRNA from 1 species
UGGGGAAUAUUGGGCAAUGGGCGCAAGCCUGAUCCAGCCAUGCCGCGUGAGUGAUGAAGGCCCUAGGGUUGUAAAGCUCUUUCACCGGUGAAGAUAAUGACGGUAACCGGAGAAGAAGCCCCGGCUAACUUCGUGCCAGCAGCCGCGGUAAUACGAAGGGGGCUAGCGUUGUUCGGAUUUACUGGGCGUAAAGCGCACGUAGGCGGACUUUUAAGUCAGGGGUGAAAUCCCGGGGCUCAACCCCGGAACUGCCUUUGAUACUGGAAGUCUUGAGUAUGGUAGAGGUGAGUGGAAUUCCGAGUGUAGAGGUGAAAUUCGUAGAUAUUCGGAGGAACACCAGUGGCGAAGGCGGCUCACUGGACCAUUACUGACGCUGAGGUGCGAAAGCGUGGGGAGCAAACAGG